rfam:Delta proteobacterium MLMS-1 ctg840, whole genome shotgun sequence.
CCUACUGUAUCGUCAGUAGUUUCCUACCUCGGCAUGCAUUGCUGGUAACGGCUUUGUGUGAAGCCCGAGCGACAAUGAAGCCCUCAGUCACUCGACUGGGAGAGAAAAUCGCGAGAGGAUCUCAACUCUGGAAGCAUCGAUCUGGAUGGGAGC